UACGUAGGGUGCAAGCGUUAAUCGGAAUUACUGGGCGUAAAGGGUGCGUAGGCGGGUCUUUAAGUCAGGGGUGAAAUCCUGGAGCUCAACUCCAGAACUGCCUUUGAUACUGAAGAUCUUGAGUUCGGGAGAGGUGAGUGGAACUGCGAGUGUAGAGGUGAAAUUCGUAGAUAUUCGCAAGAACACCAGUGGCGAAGGCGGCUCACUGGCCCGAUACUGACGCUGAGGCACGAAAGCGUGGGGAGCAAACAGG
rnacentral:rRNA from 1 species